AUUGAACGCUGGCGGCAGGCCUAACACAUGCAAGUCGAACGGCAGCACAGAAGAGCUUGCUCUUUGGGUGGCGAGUGGCGGACGGGUGAGUAAUGUCUGGGAAGCUGCCCGAUGGAGGGGGAUAACUACUGGAAACGGUAGCUAAUACCGCAUAACGUCGCGAGACCAAAGUGGGGGACCUUCGGGCCUCACACCAUCGGAUGUGCCCAGAUGGGAUUAGCUAGUAGGUGGGGUAAUAGCUCACCUAGGCGACGAUCCCUAGCUGGUCUGAGAGGAUGACCAGCCAAACUGGAACUGAGACACGGUCCAGACUCCUACGGGAGGCAGCAGUGGGGAAUAUUGCACAAUGGGCGCAAGCCUGAUGCAGCCAUGCCGCGUGUAUGAAGAAGGCCUUCGGGUUGUAAAGUACUUUCAGCGGGGAGGAAGGCGGUGAGGUUAAUAACCUCGCCGAUUGACGUUACCCGCAGAAGAAGCACCGGCUAACUCCGUGCCAGCCGCCGCGGUAA
rnacentral:rRNA from 1 species